rnacentral:tRNA from 1 species
GCUAACGUAGCUUAACUAAAGCAUAACACUGAAGAUGUUAAGAUAGACCCUAGAAAGUCUCGUGGGCA